ensembl:lncRNA
AUGGUGCAGCUGCUCCAGAGAACGCGGUGGGGAUGCCCAGGCUGGUCGCAGCCCCCUAAUGCAGCCCCCUGCCCCCAUUCUUGUGUGCUGUGCGGUGCCAGCGGGGCUUUGUUCUCACAGCGUUGCUUUCUGCUCAGCUUGAUUUUUAUUUUUUUCUUAGAUAUCAACCCCAUUGUGUCCAACCAGCCCAGGAGCUGCCGGCUCCUCACCCCUGCAGGGGCUACCGAAGAGCCAGACACUGUAGCCAGGACUCACCGAACCUCUGUGGUGCUUCCCGUGCCUCUCUGCUCGCCCAGUGCUGGCUUUCUCUGCACGCCAAGUUGCUGGUGGUCCUGUGAUCACUUAACACAGGUGGCAUGUGGCAGGGCUGAGCAGGUCGCUGUUCAAAGGGGGCCUGCCAGGCUUGCUGCAUCGCCGUCCCCUGCACCACCGACAGACGGAGCGUCUGCCUCGGAGACCCUGCCGGUGGCACCAGCGACUGCUGACACUAGGGUGUUGGAUGCAGAGAGGUAACGACUCUGAGAUGAUCUCGUAACACAAGGUAUUUAAUUGAGAUAGAAAUGCAGUACAUGUUGUAUUUGCGGCAUACUGAAGGAUGGACAGUUUUCUAACUAAAGAGUAGAGAAACGCAUGACUCCUGUGCAAAUAUGGAUUGAACUAAAAACCAAACCAAAACUACAGUUGAAGUUGACAAUGGAAUUAUACUAAAAUCGGUAAAUAUGCACACAUACGCACCUGCAUGCACAAAAUAACGUAAGGCUAAAAGGUCUGAUUUUCACAGUGUUGGGGCAGCGAGGAGUGGCCUUCACGUAAAACUGAAGUGUAUCAGCUUAUGCCAGGACAUUGUAAAGGAGCUUGUUCAAAUGAUAACUGAGACCCUCACGUCUUUGUAAAGCAAACACAUACAAUUUUGUGUCUUUAAUUUAAAAUGAAAGCUGGAAAAAUGAAAACUGGGCAGAGAUCUCCUAAUGGAGUAUUUCUGCACACAGGAGAUCGGCUCCCAAAGUCCAAGAAUAUCAUGGAGGAAAGUACACAAAUUCCUAUAACUUCUUUUAUUUUUAAUUCAGAAAGAGUCUCUUUGGCCACUUGUUCCAAUUAGAUGCUCUUGAAUUCUUCAAUGCAGAGGAAGGGGAAGAGAAAGAAAAAUGCCAGCGCUUGCAGUACUGGAACUGAGCCCUUGGGGUUCAGCUAAGGACAAGAAUCCAGAGGCUUGAACACUUACCUGGAGUUUCAGACAAAAUUACCCAGACAUGGAGCGUCUCAUCCUCAGGUGCUGUCCUUGCAGUUCACCUCUUGCAAAAGGGACUGUGCCUUUCCUGACAGCAGAGGGGCUGGGGGGCCCCUGUCUAUUUAAUAGUUAGGAGACUGCCUCAAACCUCCUCCAACGCUGCAGUCUCAGUAGUGGCAGCAGAAAUCCUGACACAGGAUCAGACACACCGCCUGAUUCAACAACAUGAUUUGACCCUGGAAUUCAGGGUUAAUGUUCAUAUUCAGGACCCACCAGUUCCUUAGAAGCAGGAGAGGUCUUCUGCUGUUUCUGCUGUCUUUCCUGGUAGUAUGCUAUGCUCCAUUGCCUAAUAAAACUCUCCUUGAAAUUAUAAAGUUCCUCCUA